AGGACAUCAUUCCUCAUCCUCCUUACCUCUGAAGAAGUGGGUUUGCAGUAGCCAGCUCCAAACACUAGAUUUUCUAAUGACAUACUGGACUGGUCUGGUCCCGCCUCCAGGUUGCCUUUACCAAGCCAUGAACCUUUCCCUGGACGAGCAAAGCUGCAAGAAGAAAAAUUGAGAAGAAAAUAGUAAUCAGAGGAACAUUGUUAGAGAAGAAUCAUUGUUGUCCCAGUAUAAUUCCCUUGCUUAGAAAAGACUUACAAUUUUGCCUGCAAGAUCCAGCAAUCAAAAUUUAAGACCUUUCUGACUCAAAGGUUAUAUUCAAGCAAUUAUUUCCAGCAAUCAUGGUUACCUUCUACGAAUUUGUGUCCACGACUUUGUGAUUUAUACUUUUGGCCUCUGUAACAUCUUUUGGAAUGAAUUUCUCGUUGUAAUAAGUGCUGGACUUUCUGGUUCUUUUGAACACGCUGUUGCAGAAUUCUAUGUGGCAACAUUAGGUUCUUGUUUAGCACAAAAUAUUAAAUAAUCAUUCCCUGUUUUUUUCCCUUCUAUGGACAAUUAUCUUACAUAUAAAUGAAAUUACAGUUUCCUAGCAUAAGGAAUUCAAUGGCCUUGAUAAAUGUUAAUUCAGAUGUGUUAUUGAAGCAAAUCAGAACAAUUACUUUAGGGUAGUUUAAUAGAAAACCAUUCUCUCUUUCAGAUUCACCUUCCCAAAAAAGAAAUACUUUUCUUUCAUUUUUAGUUUUGUUUUGGGUCUUUCUUUUUGUAGCAGGGAAGGGUUUAGUUGUUUCGGGUUUUUUUGGUAAGCAAAUUUUUUUCACAAAGCGAAGUUUUAGCAGAAUGGGGAGAAAAAAUUGGGCUCUGAUUCUUGCUUGGGGGAAAAAAAAACGUAUCUUGCACUAUAUGAAAUUAUCAAACUCUAAAAAACCAAAACCAAACAACCUCCAUACACACACGAUCAUCACAUUUCUAAUGACAAGAAAUUUCAAUCUUGUGAGUAAACCAGGAGUGGAAAUUCAAGAAAUAAAUUUGUAUCCCACUUAGGCCAGAUCCUUGGAGAAACCACUUCUUUAUAUCUCAGUCCCUUAUACAUAAAAUAAUACUGCUUUAAAAAUUGAAAAUAUAAGUCUGUCCCAUAGAAAUAGCAUAACUCAGAAUUAAACCCUCACAGUCCCCAUUAUCAUGUGUUUUCAUUUCACCACUGAAUUCCUUCUCCCACAGAUCAUGAAAAUUGUAGUGACAACACCAAUUUCCCUCAUUGUUUUAACUCAAAACUUUAAUAUAUCUUUUGGAAAAUUCCUACUGGCACAUGGCCAUAGGGUAUAUGGGUGAUCUGUUAUUUUUUUUUAAGAAUAAUCUGUGGAUAUUUAGGAUUGUGUUCCUCUAGGCAUGGUCCUCUCUUACCCAAGGAGUUUCACUAAGGUUAUAAUCAGUUACUGUAAAAUAUUCUGAGUUUUUGGGUAAAAGGGAUAAGGUUUACUAAAAUUAAAUUUUAAUGAAAAUACAUAUCUCUCCUAAGAUACCAAACAGAGUCAAGGGGGAAUCUGGUUUGAAAUCUUUAGUGAUUUUGACUGCUGGAAAAUGCUGGCUCAUUUGUCCUGAACUUAACCUUGUUUCCUAUAAAACUUGCAAGCAGAUAAAGCCAUGUGGUAAUAUUUAAUUUA